GACGAACGCUGGCGGCAUGCCUAAUACAUGCAAGUCGAGCGAACGUCAGAGGAGCUUGCUCCUCUGACGUUAGCGGCGGAUGGGUGAGUAACACGUGGGCAACCUGCCCUGCAGAUGGGGAUAACUCCGGGGAAACCGGGGCUAAUACCGAAUAAUCAGUGCGUUCGCAUGAACGCACUCUGAAAGACGGUUCACGCUGUCACUGCAGGAUGGGCCCGCGGCGCAUUAGCUAGUUGGUGGAUAACGGCCUACCAAGGCGACGAUGCGUAGCCGACCUGAGAGGGUGAUCGGCCACACUGGGACUGAGACACGGCCCAGACUCCUACGGGUGGCAG
rnacentral:rRNA from 1 species